CGUCGAUAUGCACAACUACAUAGUAUGUCCUUAUUAUCUGAAAAGGUUUCGUGAAAUUCUGUUGUGUGGUUUGAGAGGAGUUGCGAUGACAAACUGUUGCAGUAGUACAUUAAAGUAAAUAAGUUCAAAGGGGCGUAACUCCUAGAAAAAAAAUUGAAUCGCAUUUUCCCGUCGAUAUGCACAACUAAAUAGUAUGUCCUUAUUAUCUGAAAAGGUUUCGUGAAAUUCUGUUGUGUGGUUUGAGAGGAGUUGCGAUGACAAGAAACAGGACUGACGGACUGACGGACAGACGGACUGACGGACGGACGGGUCAAAAACAUUAUACCCUCCGCAACUUCGUUGCGUGGGGUAUAAUUAAAUA
rnacentral:lncRNA from 1 species